AAACUGAAACGGAAACUUAACAAUUCUGCUGGGUGGUUUACUGAAGCUAGCUCGUGUCCAUUAUAUGGAAUUUAACUUGACGUGAAACUGCGCAAACCUCUCGAAUUUUUGGAUGGAGUUGACCUGAACAACAGAUAAAGGAUGAUGUGAAAAUAAAUAUUGAGAAAGACACUCAAUAGAGACAGGCGUUGUUACAGGCGAAUGCGGAAGAGUGUGAUUCGACAGGUAGCCUACUUGUGUUGGACGCUCUCAAUUAAAGUAAGGUCGCUCACGGGAAACUACGUAGACCUUGACACUGUUAGAACGUUUUUGUAUCAAACAUUGUGGCUCCUGGGAACAUCAUAAGAUAUUUCUGAAGUUCAAGAAGAAACCUGCAACUGCGUGGCAGUGAUAUGGCAGCCAACAAUGCGUGUGGCCCAUAUAUUUAGAAUCUACACAUGAUAAAACAAUACAACUUAUUUCGCUGUGAUAAAAAAAAAAAAACUACUAGGUUGAACUGGACAACCAUGUUCUUCCGUUUGAUGUUGUUCUGUUCAGUUUAUAUUAAUUACGUUGGCCUUACCCUGCCUUACCCUGCUUACGCUGAGUGUGGGGAACAAAGUUACAUUGUAGGAGACCUUUGUUGCCCUAAAUGCCCUCCUGGUAAGAGUGAAAUAUACAAACCGUUAAAAUUGCCUACAAAUCUACACAUUUUACUGUCUAAUAAUCUACAACAGAUACCAUAUUUUAACUGUUCAAGAAUCUACAACAUAUUCAAAAUGUU